UACGGAGGGUGCGAGCGUUUAUCGGAAUUACUGGGCGUAAAGCGUGCGUAGGCGGAUGCUUGAGUCGGAUGUGAAAGCCCUGGGCUCAACCUGGGAAUGGCAUUCGAUACUGGGCAUCUAGAGUGUGGUAGAGGGGGGUAGAAUUCCUGGUGUAGCGGUGAAAUGCGUAGAUAUCAGGAGGAAUACCGAAGGCGAAGGCGACCACCUAGAUCUACACUGACGCUGAGGUACGAAAGCGUGGGUAGCAAACAGG
rnacentral:rRNA from 1 species